ACUGCUCUAAUUCUUUUGCUUCAUCCUGAAGUGUUCUCUCAUAGUUGUCUUCCAAAGCCUUUAAUUUUAUCUUUUCAUCUUUGAUCUUUUUGAGUUGCUUGGUUAUUUCAUCUAUACUGUCAGAAACUCUUUUCAUUUCCUGUGUCGUAACUUCAACCAAUGAUUUAGCAUCUGUCAAUUCCUGCCUCUUCAAAUCAGCUUCACCAUACAAUAAAUCAGUCUCUGCAGAUGAUAUUAUGGCUUCCAACUCUUGCUUUCGCCUUUUCAGAUUAGUUGUAAGAUUAGUCUCUAGCUCUGCUUUUCUUGUUUCAGUCUCAAUGCGAUCUGUUCUGCAGGCAAUAUGC
rnacentral:misc_RNA from 1 species